UUAUAGAGUUGGGCCUGCUCAGUGAUAUAUUUUAACAGCUGCGGUAUUAUAACUGUACUAAGGUAGCAUAAUAAUUUGUUCUAUAAAUUAGGACUAGAAUGAAUGGUUUGACGAAAAUUAAGCUGUUUCUAUUUUAUUUAUUAGAAAUUAAUUUUUAAGGUGAAAAAGCUUAAAUGGUUUUAAGGGACGAAAAGACCCUAUUGAGCUUAAUGUAUAUAUAUUUAAUAUGGUAAUAAAUUAAGUUAAUUAUUUUUGGUUGGGGUGAUCAAGGAAUAAAAAUUAAUAUAAAAUAACUUCCUUAAAUUAAAAUAUUAUUGGAUUAAUAAACCAAUUAUUUUGCUUAGAAGAUAAGUUACCAUAGGGAUAACAGCGUAAUUUUUUUUGAGAGUUCAUAUUAAAAAAAAAGAUUGCGACCUCGAUGUUGGAUUAAAAGUAACCUUAAGGUGUAGAGGCUUUAUUAGGUAAAUCUGUUCGAUUUUUAAAAUUUU
rnacentral:rRNA from 1 species